GCCUUCAUGAAGCCGGAAUUGCUAGUAAUGGCAGGUCAGCAUACUGCCGUGAAUACGUUCCCGGGCCUUGUACACACCGCCCGUCACACCAUGAGAGUUGGGAAUACCCGAAGCCUGUGAGCUAACUUAACGAGGCAGCAGUCGAAGGUAGAAUCAAUGAUUGGGGUGAAGUCGUAACAAGGUACC
rnacentral:rRNA from 1 species